AUCGCUUCUUGGCCUUUUGGCUAAGAUCAAGUGAAGUACUUUGAUGUCGAUCACAGACUGAAGUGAUAUUUUUGAUAUAAUGGGUUAAAAAAUGUUAUAAAAAUUAAUCCCACCAUUCUUUUGCUAUUAGAAUGUGGCUAC
rnacentral:snRNA from 1 species